UACGGAGGGGGCGAGCGUUAUUCGGAAUUACUGGGCGUAAAGGGCUCGUAGGCGGCCAACUAAGUCAGACGUGAAAUCCCUCGGCUUAACCGGGGAACUGCGUCUGAUACUGGAUGGCUUGAGUUCGGGAGAGGGAUGCGGAAUUCCAGGUGUAGCGGUGAAAUGCGUAGAUAUCUGGAGGAACACCGGUGGCGAAGGCGGCAUCCUGGACCGACACUGACGCUGAGGAGCGAAAGCCAGGGGAGCAAACGGGG
rnacentral:rRNA from 1 species